UGAGUUUCCCCUCUUGUACUUCUAUACUCUUUGGCUAAGGGAGAAGAGCACAUCAUGCGUCGUACCCACGCUUAGCCCAUAUCAAGACAGUCUGUGGGCGUGACGUCCGAGGCUGAGACUACAUGCGUCGAGAUUCGAGGCUCACAACAACGGAAGAGGCAUAACGCUAGAGAAGGAAACGCAUUAUGAAAUCUCUGGUUGUUUUGGUGUUUGGUCUGGCUCUUCUGGAGCUUGGUUCUGCACUUAAGUGCUAUACAUGCGAUAAAGGAUUAUGUAAUAAAACUCAGGUUUGCACCACGGAAGACUCCUGUUUGUCUGCCAGUAGUGGAGUUAACAAAUACAAGCAAUGCCUCAAGUAUGACGAUUGCAACGUGAUGAAACUCCUCCAAAUGUUUCCUGGUUCUCAAGAAAUACAAUUCAAAUGCUGUACGUCAGACAUGUGUAACGCAGCAUCAUUGUCGGUUGCCAGCCACUUAGUGUUGGGAUUACUGCUUUCAAUAGCACUUUUCUGGUGGGGUGUUCUUCUGUAAUUGUCGUUGUUCACAAACAGAACAUCACGUCAUGCAUCCUUUUCAAGGGAGUAAUUUUUUGAGAUCUAAUAAAUGUUGUUUGUAUAUGCACUUUGAUUUGGCUUGUAUUUUUGUAUUUUUAGGAAUGUACUAAUGUUCAGAUUUUAUAAGUCAAUUAUAUACAUCUCUCAUCACUAAAACAGUCACAUAAAAGUGUUUCUUUCAGAAAAUGCCUUUUCCGAAUACACAAUUUAACAAAUUAUUAAUAGAAGUCUUUUUUAUCAGUUUUUAUUUUGCCUUGUUUCUUUAUAAUGGAUUAAAAUUCAUUUAAACAUAGUAUUACUAUUAUAACAGAGCAUCUUGUAAAUCAUGUCCCAAGUCAAAUGGACUAGUAUAAAAAACAUUGCAGUAUUGAAAGCAAUAGAAAACAUGUAGACUUUAAAAGUGAUUAUAACCACUGCAUUAAUGUGUAUUGAAAUAUAAUUUUAAUACUGUUAGUGAUAAGAGGAAUUGGCUCAAGAAAUUGACUAAAAUAUUGCACUACUGCUGAACUAUUCUAUUUGUAUUAGUACAAUUGCUUAUUCAACCUGUUUGUUUAAGAAAAUGCACUGCCUGAAUAAAGAUUAAGAAUAAGUUGA